CGUGAUGGUCUAAAUUGAUUAGAAAUAUUAAUCUUUUAAAUCAAAAGAUAUUAUGAUGAAAUACAUUAGUUGCAAAUAAGAAAGGAUUUUAUUGAUAAUGAAAGGAUGCUAUAAAUUUUGAUAUGAUCUGAUCAUAGCCGGAUAAUUUUUAUCAGUAGGUUGUUUCAUUAUAGAUAAUGCCAAGAAAUUUUAGAUAUCUCAAGUUUAUUAAUAGCUUGAUAGUUCUGAUAUUAGUUCAAAUUUAGAAUGUCCUGACAUAGAUCUCAUAU
rnacentral:lncRNA from 1 species